rnacentral:rRNA from 1 species
GAUGAACGCUGGCGGCGUGCCUAAUACAUGCAAGUCGAGCGAACAGACGAGGAGCUUGCUCCUCUGACGUUAGCGGCGGACGGGUGAGUAACACGUGGAUAACCUACCUAUAAGACUGGGAUAACUUCGGGAAACCGGAGCUAAUACCGGAUAACAUGUUGAACCGCAUGGUUUAACAGUGAAAGACGGUCUUGCUGUCACUUAUAGAUGGAUCCGCGCCGCAUUAGCUAGUUGGUAAGGUAACGGCUUACCAAGGCAACGAUGCGUAGCCGACCUGAGAGGGUGAUCGGCCACACUGGAACUGAGACACGGUCCAGACUCCUACGGGAGGCAGCAGUAGGGAAUCUUCCGCAAUGGGCGAAAGCCUGACGGAGCAACGCCGCGUGAGUGAAGAAGGUCUUCGGAUCGUAAAACUCUGUUAGUAGGGAAGAACAAAUGUGUAAGUAACUAUGCACGUCUUGACGGUACCUAAUCAGAAAGCCACGGCUAACUACGUG